rnacentral:lncRNA from 1 species
GAAAGAACCCCCGGAUAGGAGCGCAGUUCCGACCCGGGAGAGAGAGAACCGAGAGACCCCCGUGAACUCCCAAGGCGACCCGGCGAGUGGGGAAGCCAGAGCCCAGCAGGCAUUUGUUGAUUGAGCCAAAGAGGACUGACUACGUGUGACAUAAGUUGGAUCGAGUCACUGUGGAAGCAGAGGUCCUAAUAUC